UACGAAGGGGGCUAGCGUUGCUCGGAAUCACUGGGCGUAAAGCGCACGUAGGCGGGUUGCUAAGUCAGGGGUGAAAUCCUGGAGCUCAACUCCAGAACUGCCUUUGAUACUGGCGGCCUUGAGUCCGGGAGAGGUGAGUGGAACUGCGAGUGUAGAGGUGAAAUUCGUAGAUAUUCGCAAGAACACCAGUGGCGAAGGCGGACUCACUGGCCCGGUACUCGGACGCUGAGGUGCGGAAAGCGAU
rnacentral:rRNA from 1 species